CAGCCGCCGCGGGAAAACGUAGGUGGCAAGCGUUGUCCGGAAUUAUUGGGCGUAAAGGGCUCGCAGGCGGUUUCUUAAGUCUGAUGUGAAAGCCCACGGCUCAACCGUGGAGGGUCAUUGGAAACUGGAAAACUUGAGUGCAGAAGAGGAGAGUGGAAUUCCACGUGUAGCGGUGAAAUGCGUAGAGAUGUGGAGGAACACCAGUGGCGAAGGCGACUCUCUGGUCUGUAACUGACGCUGAGGAGCGAAAGCGUGGGGAGCGAACAGGAUUAGAUACCCCUGUAGUCCCUGUCUCUUAUAC
rnacentral:rRNA from 1 species